GGCCCCUUCCUUCCAUAAGACCUACUCAGGACUCCACUGGGCUGCUGACUACUCACCCUCCCCUCAGGUCAUCUCCUGACCCGUACACAGUUAUGUCCACCCAGGGUCUGCUUGGACACCUGUGCCUGAUGUUCACCAGGGGCCAGAUGUCGUCCUCAGGCCUGAUGUCCACCUAGGGCCUGAUGACUGCCUUGGCCUAUGUCCCUCUGGGGGCCUUGUGUUCACCUGGGGACUGUAUCCAGCUGGGGCCUGAUGGCCUACUGGGUCUUGUUGUUCACCUAAGGCCUUGUGUCCACCUGGGGACUGGUGAUCACCUGGGGCCUGGGUGUCCACCUGAGGCCAGAGGUGCACCUAAGGCCUGAGUUUUCACCUGGGCCUGAUGAUCACCUGGGGACUGGGUGUGUGCCUUGGGUCUUUUCCCUUUUCCUGAACAGGGCUUGCAGUUUCCAAACCAGACACAAUCUCCCAGUUGGAGAAAGAAAAAGGAUCCUAGAUGAUAGUGAGACAAAUUUCAGGAAACUCCAUCCAAAUAAGUAAAUGAGAAUGAGGACAGGAUUCAUUGCAUGGUGGCAUGUGCCUGCAGUCCCAGCUACUCAAGAGGCUGAGGUGGGAGGAUCGCUUGAACUCAGGAGUUGAAGGCUGCAGUGGGUGAGGAUCACAACACUGAAUUCCAGCUGAGGUGACAGAAUGAGACCCUGUCUCUCUAAAAAACAAGCAAGCAAACAAACCAAAAACCACAGACAAACCAGACCCCUCUUAGCAGAAUACUUCCAUGAGGUAAUAAAAGCCAAAGCCACAAGAAAAGUCAAAUUCAUAUCUUUAAAUGCUUUCAUUAUCAAUCAAGAAAGAAGAAAGUGAAACGAACAAACAAUUUUACUCAAGAAACUAGUGAGAAAUCAAAGAAAUGUCCAAGAAGUAGGAGACAAGAAUUAAUCAAAACAGAUUAACAGUGGAAUAAAUAAAUGAAUCCAACUGGUUCUUUGUAAUGGAAUGUAGAAAGACAUACUCUAUUCUUCUGGAUAGGAAGAUGAAAUAUCAUAAUCAUAUCAAUGCAAGUUUUAUGCAUGCUCAAACAUGUAUAAACUAAGAAAAAAUCUGAAAGGACAGACAGCAAAAUGUUUGCAGUUUUUUUCCUCCAAGUGGUAAGAUUAAAGAACACAGACAAAAAUAGAAACUCCUCACAUGACCCACCACGAAGCCCAUCAGAUGGCAGAAUGCAGAAUCAGGUUGCAAUGGACUGAUCUUAAAACAGAUGAAGCAGUGGAGAAAAUCUUCCUGGAGCUGAUGGUAUAAUUUGCUUCUUGAAACAAUGACAGUCCAUGAAAUAAGGUGGGGAAGAUGUUUUGAACCUCUCUCAGCAGCAGAUCCCUAAAUCACAGACCCAGAACUUGGAGGAAACAGGAAACAGGAGGCCAUCUCUGCACCUCUCCAGCACUGCUCUGGUUGGUGGGCAGAAUAUCAUACAAUCAUCACGAUUCUUAUAUCAAAAACCAAAUUCUAGACUGAUUAAAUAAUUAUUUUUUUAAAUGAGAAAAGUUAUCGUUUAUUUGAUCUUGGGCUAGGGAAGAUAUUUCCAAGCAAAAAGGGUAAAAAGAAGGAAAAAGAAAUGAUUAACAGAUUGGAAGGCAAUAACAAUAUAAUAUCAAGUGCUGGCAAGAGCUCAGAGAAGUGUGUGUUCUCAUGACUGCUGGAACAAAUUGGUAUAAUAUUUCUGAAGGGCAAUCUGGCUGAAUAUGUUAGAAGUCUUUAAAAUAUUUAUACUCUGACUCAGUAAUUCAACAUCUAGAAAUUUUUCCUAAGUAAGUAAUAAGAAAGAGUUGAAAAAAGUAUUUGAAUAUUGAAAGACUGGAAAGAACAUAAAGGUUCAAUAAUACAUAUAUGUUCAACAACAGGGGACUAGUAAAUAUGAAUUAUUUAUAUGAUAAAAUACUAUCUAACCUUAAAAUAAUGUUUUAAAUAAUAUUUAAUGAUGAGAAUAUGCUGAGAAAAGUUUAAUCAUUUUAAAAAAGUUACAUGCAAAAUUAAAGUUAAUAACAUGUACAAGAUUAUUCUAAUUUUUUUUUUUUUUGAGAUG
rnacentral:lncRNA from 1 species